UGUGACUGCCCUCGUUUGGGCAUUUCCUCCCUGGACUUGCCGCCGUGAUUCUUUGGGGUUGCGGCGGCAUUUUCAAUCGUGG
rnacentral:sRNA from 1 species